rnacentral:rRNA from 1 species
UACAGGGGGGGCAAGCGUUGUUCGGAAUUACUGGGCGUAAAGGGCCAGUAGGCGGCCAACUAAGUCACACGUGAAAUCCCCAGGCUUAACCUGGGAACUGCGUGUGAUACUGGAUGGCUUGAAUUCGGGAGAGGGAUGCAGAAUUCCAGGUGUAGCGGUGAAAUGCGUAGAUAUCAGGAGGAACACCAACGGCGAAGGCAGCUCGCUGGGACGGUACUGACGCUGAGGCGCGAAAGCGUGGGGAGCGAACAGG